rnacentral:lncRNA from 1 species
GCCAGCGCUGGCCCUGCCCUCAGGCCGCCUCUGCGCUCCCUCUGCUCACUGGUCCCUUGGGCUCACGGGUCCCCUCCUCUCUGUCUCUAAAGCCCAUCCCCCACCCAGGCGUCUGUCCGGGCACAGGACCCAGUCGGACACGAGGGUCACGAGGACCGCCCUUCUGUCUGCUCUGGCUUCUCCGCGGCUCAGGGGACCUUGUCUGUCCCUCUCUCACUCAUGCAGCGCCCAGCGCCCUGCACACAGUAGGCCUCACUGGAGGCCAGGUGGCUCCCAGUGACGUCAUCGGGGCAAGGGGCGGGGGGCGGGGGGGGGGGCCGCGAGCUACUGUCGCCUCCAUCACCUCUGGUCCUCAUCCCCAUUUCACAGCUGGGGAGAUUGAGGCUCAGUGGUGACGCCCCCCACGUCCCCCCAGUAGGAGAGGGAGGGUCUCCGAUUGGAAGCCAAGGGGGGGGGCACGUCUGCAACUAGAGAUGAGGUGCUGAGGCUGGCCCAGGUGGCCGCGCUGACACGGUAAGUCAGGGCUCUUCAACCAGGCAGGCUGGCCUCCCAGGAGACAGGGGCAGUGGCCAGGGGCAUCUGCAGGGGUCACAACUGGGGAAGGGGUGCUGCAGUACCUAGGCAGACGCCAGGGUGCAGCUGGACACCCCACAACGCACAGGACGAUUCCUUGCAGUGGGGAGAGCUGACCCGAAACGCGGCCAGCACCAAGGUGAGGGACGGCCAGGAGGGCCAGCAGGUUGUGCGCACACUGUGACCGUUACCGUCCUCCGCAGCGUGAUUCACACCUCGCAGAGAAAGGCUGAAACGAAGAAAGGGAUAAAGAAAACAGUGACCAGAAAAGGCGCGCAGCAGCUCAGGAAGCACACAGCCAAGGCCUGCGGACGGGGUCCACACCAAGGAGGGAAGUGGGACAGUAACAAAGCAAUGGCUUCCUGUCACCGGGGAAGGUGGCUGGCAGGAGGGAGCAGGACCCUGGCUGGGGAUGCAUCUGGCAAAGCCCUGGGGGGACCGGGAGCAUCUCCCAGCUCUUGCAAUGGACACCCCUGCCUGCCCCCCGGGGCCAGUGUUGUAGAAAUGCCCACGGCUGCAUGAGCGGGCGUGGUGGCCACCCCUAUCAUCCCAGCAACUUGGGAGGCUGACGUAGGAGGAUUGCAAGUUGGAGGCCAGGCUCAGCUACUUUUCGAAGCCCUAAGCAGCUCAGCGAGACCCUGUCUCUAAAUAAAAUAUAAAAAGGGCUGGGGGUGCGGCUCGGUGGGUAAGUGCCCCUGGGUGCAGUCCCUGGAACCAGAGCAAACAUACCAACCCGAGGGCGCUGCAGGAGAGCCGCCCGCAAGGUCGUUCAUAAUGGGGAACAUUUGGCAGGAAAACAGAACAUCUGUGAAGGCAGGGUUGGCACACAGACCACGUCCCUCCACCCCUGGAAACCUGCAGCGGAUCUCAGUGACAAGGCACACCUCUCAGCACGUGGGACCAGGGGGACUGCUAAGCAAGCCGCGGAGGCACUCAGGUCUGUUAUCCAGAUGGCAAAACAAGCCAGGGCAGACGCCACCAGGGCUCGGGUCUCUUCUGCUCCCUCUUCCUCACUGAUUGGACCCCGAUUUUGAGUGGGUGCAACGUGCCAGGCAACCCCACCCCCUCCCAGCCUCCCUGCAGCCUGGGCCUGCGAGAGAGAAGUCUCCUGGGCAGGGCUCCGAGGAGGUCACCAAGCCCCUGAGCUGGGCCCUCCUGGCCCUUCCCUGCCCUCCUGCCCUGGCUGAGCACAGGUGCCAGGCAGCCAAGAGCACUUUGGAAGUCACAUCCCAGAGAGGGAGACCGACAGGGAAACUGGCCCUUGGGGACAUCUCGGAGCAAGUCAGCGGCUGGGGCCUGCUCAGCCCGCGUCUCUGGCACCAGGUGACAGUGACCUGCACGCGGCCGCUGGGACCUGUUGUGCUUUCCUUGCCGCCAAAAGCCCUCCGGAGACGAGGAGAUGUAGGGACUCCCCGGGACUCUGUGACCAGUGUCCCUCCUGCAGCUCAGCCUUCCUCUAGGAGAACCGAACUAUAGCUGGAGCCUGGCCCGGCCUCUCCUGGCCGAAUCAGCGUCUGCCGCCCUCCUCUGGGCCACACGGGGGCAGGUGGAGGGACCCUUGAAGGGAGUCGGCUUUCGGGGAAGGCUCCGUUCUCCAGAUGGCGGGACUCACGCCCGGUCUGACCCGCGGGAGACACAGUGGACCAGCCAGACCGGCUGCCCGCUCACGACCCCCAGCCCAGACCUGCAGACCCCCGACAGUGGCCAGGAGGCCUCGCCCACCUGUUUGUCCUCCUCUUCCCAGAAGCAGGAGGCCAGCUCCCUUUAUCUCAGGCCAAAGUCCCCCUGGGCACCAGGAGGAAUGUCACCUGUCAUCACGGGAAGGAUGAGUCACCUCCUGGUGGCUGGAGGCCACAGCCCGCCUGACCUCUCUCUCCUGGCCAAUGGCUCUCCUGGGUGGGGGGAUGGGAUUGUUGCCCUAAGACUGUGACACAGCCAUCGUCCCUGGGGUGCUGACCUGGAGCGGGCCCCAGCAGGCUAAGGGCACAGCCUGGGUUCAGAGCCCCCCCCCGCCCCAUGCCCUAGCCUCGUGACCUGGGCGGCCCCUUGCUAGACCUGUCGCCAGUCUUGAUUGGACAGAUGUCAGUUAGGCCAGCACUCAGGAGCAGGAGGGGUGCGGAAGGCACUCGGGCACCCGGGCCAGCCGAGCCGCGGAGCACAGGGGCAGAGACGCUCAGAACCGUCUCGACGAUGAUCUUAAUAAGUGCAAACUGUUGUGUGUUAACUGAGGUUGGGCGACUUGGAGAGAAGGAAGGAGAGGGCAUGGAGCACUGAUGAAGGGGACCUGUUGACUUCCAGGGUGUUCCAGGAGGCCCCUGGACACGUUCACAGUUGGGAAAGGCCUGAGGAGCUGGGGCAGGGUGCUCAUUGGCUACCUCUGGGAAGGGAGAGAGGGAGAGGAAAGAGCAGGUGCAAAGGCCCUGAGGCCACGGAGUGCCCAGUGUGUUCUGGGAGCAGGAGGCUAGCGUGUCUGAAGGGAGCCAGCACACAGGCAGGGGACGUGGGAACAGCAGCCACCCCAGACCUGGGGACAACCAGGACCUUGUCUUUCUGGGCCACCUGGGAGCCUCAGGAAGAUGCUGAGAAGAGGAGGGGUGGGACUUGACUUCCUUCAGGUAGUGAGACGAUGGCAGAGCGGAGGCAGCACGGGGGAGCGCUGGCGGGGUGUGGCUGUGUGGUCCUGGAAGGGGUGGGGUGGGGCUGGAGAAGCAGGACACUGAGGCUUUUGGCCGGGCCUGGAAGGACAGAGGCGCCAUUUUUGAGGCCAAGGGGACUGUGGGGGAACAAGGGGCUCUGCUCUUCCCAGGUCCCCACCCAGCACGUUCCUCUGUGGCUGGACAUUCAAGCCUGAGUUCUAGGCAGAUGGGCAGCAGGACGGAGUGUCUGGACGUUCUUGUGGACACGGUAUUCAGAGCCUCUAUUUCUCUAUGAGUAAAUGGGGCCCACGUGGCCUCUGUCUGCAAGGUGCUAUGAAGUUGGAUUAAGCAUGAGAGGCCCCAGGCAGGGCCCAUAGCAGGUAAAUGUCACCCCCAGUCCUCCCUGCCAAGUCCUCCGGUCCCCAUCAGGUCAUCAUCCUUGUCAUUGUCUCUGGUCUUACAGGUGAGGAAGGGGACAUUCAGAGUGGUUAAGUAACUGAUCCAAAGUCACACAGCUUGGAUGCAUCCUGGCUAGGAUUCAUGAGCUGAAUCAGGACUCCUGCUCUUGGCCUUCGACCCUGCUGCCUGCUCCCAGCACCUGGCCCUGCAGUCCUGAACUGACCAGGCCACGGCAGCCGCCGUCAGGUGGGGAGAAGACCAUGAAACGGAAAUCGCUCCAGGCCCGACCAGACCUGCCCCACUGGGACCCAAACCAGACUCGGCCUGUGGUUGAGGAACAUGACGAUGCUGGAUGCCCGAGUCACACCAGGUCUCCCCUCCACCAGCCACGUGUCCUGGAGGGGUGACGCAUACCCGUGCCUCGGGUUCCCCACUUGUGAGGGGAGAUGAUGGGGUUUCGGGAGGAGUGAUGGCGUGGCCCAGGCAGAGUGCCUACAACCAGGCCAGGAACUCAGUAGGUGUCUAAUAAAUGCAGGCUGCUGCUGCUGCUGUUGCUCUGGCCAGCUUUCCACUGUCACACGUGCCCAGGGCCAGGGGCUGCCCCCGCGCCUCGGGGUCCUCAUCUCCCCUCAUGGCGGCUGCCAGGGCCUCUGUGGUCUCCUUCCCGCCUGCGUCCCUGCAGCCCCAGCGGGCAGCUUUGACCCACGUUCCCAGCAGCCGGAAGCCCAGAGGGCCACUCAGGGGCUGAUGGCCCCCACGGGCUGUUCUCACGGUGACCCCACUGGGCAGCAGCAAGGAGCACCUGAUGGCCUCUGCACAAGCAGCGCGUCUGGCGGGUGUUGUGCUGAGACGCGGGAGCUGGGGGUGGGGGGAAGCGACCUGCGGCCAUGAUGGGCACCUGGCGGUGGGGGCUGCUUGCUGGGGCCGAGGGGCCUUGGGCUCCGCGUGCUCUCGUCCUGUGAUCCUGGGCAUCUGUCGAAGCUCAGCAGACGGAAUCCGCAUGUCGGUGACUUUCUGUCACUUAUUAUGAAAACAAAGAAGGGCUCGUUGCUCUUGUCAACACGGGUUCUGUGCCACCAAGAGCCCCACACAGCCCCGCUGGGGACCCAGAGCCAACUCAAGGCCCUUCCCCCCUCGGGUCCCACCCAAGGCCUCGGCACAUGAAGGAGGACACUGGCAGCUGCAGAAGUGCCCUGCGCCCGGUGAAGGCGGCGUUGCCCUCCCUGCCCCAGCCCGGGCGGUUUCCUGGGCUGUCGCAGGGGCUCUGGAAGCUCCGCCAGCACCGGCCCUAGAUGACAGCGGCGGAGGCUGGGUGGGGAGGCUCACAGAACAGGACGAACCAGCACCCGAGCCUGCCUGCACCUGCGUCUUCCCCUGCCAGGCGGGAGGGCCGUGUGCCCGCCACCCGGGGCUGCUUUGGGGACCCAGGGGCAGGGUCAACCUGCAGCUGUGCUCCACGGACACUGGGCGUGGGCCUUGCUAUCCUCAGGGAUGGAAGGGGACGCUCUGGCCCUCCUCUGGAGAGCCCAGUCCCUCUUGAGUGGCGGCCGCGGUGGCCUGUGAGGGAAGGGCAGGCAGAUGUGGCUGCAGGGACCCGGGGAGCGCAGCCACAGGCUGGUCCGGGCCCUGGGGUCGGCUCCCCGGCGGCCGAUGGCUUCC